rnacentral:rRNA from 1 species
UACGUAGGGUGCGAGCGUUUGUCCGGAAUUAUUGGGCGUAAAGAGCUCGUAGGCGGCUUGUCGCGUCGACUGUGAAAACCCGCGGCUCAACUGUGGGCUUGCAGUCGAUACGGGCAGGCUGGAGUUCGGUAGGGGAGACUGGAAUUUACGGUGUAGCAGUGAAAUGCGUAGAGAUCGUAAGGAAGACCAGUGGCGAAGGCGGGUCUCUGGACAGUUCCUGACACUGAGGCACGGAAGGCCAGGGGAGCAAACGGG